GUGGUGAGCUGCCGAAUUUGGUUUUCUUCGAUGAGAAAACAAGCAUUCGUUGUCCAGCAGUUUGUAAACAAACAAAAUGAUCGUGUUUACUUGCCAAAGAGGUCAGCUGAAAAUGUGCACCUUCGGUUGGCCACCAGAACUCAAGCGCCGGCCAUGGUGAUGGUGUGGGCCGCCAUAACAGCCGAUGAUC